rnacentral:tRNA from 1 species
GGAAGCGUGGCCGAGCGGUUGAAGGCAGCAGUCUUGAAAACUGCCGAAGGGGUGACCCUUCCGUGGGUUCGAAUCCCACCGCUUCCG